rnacentral:lncRNA from 1 species
AAAACGAAACGGAGUAUUUCAUAAGUAAGAUCAUAAUCAAACAAUAUACAAAAGGAGAGAAAAUUGCACUACAAAAAUUAUGAACAUUGAGAGAUUUGACACUGGUAGCAACUUGGUAAGGAGAAGUUUGGUUAAUGCUCCCAAUAUAAAAGAGCGUACAAAUGUGACAUUUGAAAAUAAAAAAUACUUUGUAUUAAUAUGAGGUCUGCUAUGAACCAAAUCUUGAUGUAGCUUCCUCUAUCAGUCUUUGUACUUGGCAUUCUAGAUUCUCCCCUUCAAUUUCAUAUUUUUUUUCUCCCGAUAAGAAUGCAGAGAUUCUUUAGCAUCUCAACGUUGCCCGCCAUGAAAAUGAAGGAAAAAUCUUCAACACCUACAGAAAAAGUUAAACGAAGUUAAUAAGAAAUGUGCCCUCACUCGGUUUUUAACCUAAAAUAUUCUAAAUUGUAAACUUGGCUAUUCAGAAUAGCAGCAUCUACACUCCCUUUUGAUCUUAUAAGUACAACUACAAUCAUCACUCAACAACCAACCAUCAGGGUUUAAAAAAGUUCUUUCUGUGUCAUUUACAACUAAGAUCUAAAAAAAGGGAGGCCGGUGCACUAAAACUACCACUAUGCGCGGUGUCCGGGGAAGGGCCCACCACAAGGGUGUAUCGUACGCAGCCUUACCUUGCAUUUCUACCGGAGGCUGUUUACAACUAAGAUCUACUUCUUGUAAAUUGAUCAAACUUCGAGAUGCAGUACGUUAUAUGCUCUAAGUGUAUCACAAUCAUUGUUUUGUGGUCACAAAAAAAGAACCUUAUUUCUACAAAUAAGUUAAGAACUGACAAAAAUAUAUAGUUACAUAGUUGAUAACAUAAUCAAUUAUCAUGCACUAUUUGAAAUCCAAAUAAAAAAUGUUGAAAUACUGCAGGAAGAACUCUAGAACCUCCUAGUCAUGGAUAUAUACACAAUAAAAGCUACUCUUCAAAAAUUAUCUUAAAGUGAUCAAGGAUAGUAGAAGUUAAGAAAUGUUGAUGAGGUUAUCAAAAUCAAAGACACCACUUUUGAGCUGUGUAAAAUAAAUCAACCUGAAAAAAUAAGACAGUGAAAAUAAUAAAGGAAGCGGGUGGUUAGAGUAAAUCAAUUCAUAUGCAUAAAAAUGAGAAGAGAUGAUAAUAAAAAUAUGUAUAGUGAGAGGCAAUUCAAGCUUUAAUAACUUAACAAACCUUUGCUUCUUGAAAAUUCAUACCCAUUAGUGAUUAAAAGAGGAAGAUUUAGUUUAAGAUCGCAAAACAAAAUGAAACAAAAACUUAAAAUGAGAACCUAUAAUUGUUAAUAGAGACAAUAACAACAUAACUAGUGUAGUCCCACAAAGUAAUAUUAUUGAUAACAACAAGAAUUGAUAAAACCUGUAAAGAUGAAAUUAGAUUACACAAAUCAAUUAGGCAAAUUAAGAAAAAAAAACUGCAAUAAAAAAGGAAACAAAGACCCUAACCAAAUGUUUAACACCAAGCUCAUUUUAUACUCAAACAAAUGGAAUUAGAACAAUGAAAAUGAAAAAAAGGCAAAUAGAUAACCUCUCAAAUGAAAACGAAAAAGGCAUCGCAGAUAGUGGGAUAUUUCCUUACCCUCUGCCUCCCAAACUCAUAACUCAACCAUUUCCGCACCAACUUAUCCCCCAAUGAGAGAGAUUUCAUAAGAAUCAGAAGAUGCCGAUCCAAUGAACAUGGGUUUUCUGGUAUACAUAUUUUCUCGUCAUCAAAAUGUUGAUGAUCAAAUGGAUCUUGCCAUUGUUGUUCUCAAUUUUGUUUGUAUGAUCUCUGAAAUUAGAUUAGAAGUUUUACUGAGGGGUCUUUUCUAUUAACAGUUGAGGAGCAAUGACUUUUGGAGCCUAAUAUAAAAACGCUUUAAUUUAACAUUUAUGAGUGACUUUUGGAGUCGGAGUCGGAAAUAGUUUUCCAGAAAGAAAAAAUCCACCCUGAUUGAUAUAAGAGGGAAAUUUAAUUGAUACCGCAUCAACUAUCGUGAUGAUAUUUCUUUUAAUUAUCUUUUUUAUAAUGAGAGGUAUGUUUGAUAUAAUUAUUGUCGAGAUAUUCAAAAUUAAUUAUUUCGUGUAUACUGUGAUUGAUAAUGUUUCUUAUCCAAGUGUUUAAUAUUUUUUUCGUUUCUUGAUGUUCAAAACUUCGAAUUAACUGGACUUUGGUUAAUUAAUCAUCUCUCUGUGUACUCCUUCCCUAAUUUGAUAGGAGGAAUAUAAAUAGCAUUCCAAAAUGCAGAUUCAUCCUAUUGUUUAUGGACAUCUAACUUUGAAUGUAGAAGUUAAUCAUAUGUGCAGUACGAUAUGUUGGGUUAUUAA